rnacentral:lncRNA from 1 species
AUUACCUUUUAAAGAUGUUUUGUGCUCUCUCCCUAUAUUUUUACAUUGAGCCGGCACCAUCUAUGCAUUUCGUUUACCUUUUUGUUAUGUUGUGAUUCUCGCCAUCACCGAAAAAGACUCACAUAUGUCCUCUUGUUUUUCCUCACCUUUUUCUCCUCUUUUUCCUUAGAUUUCGGCUCAUGUUAGGAACUGCAUCUCCUUGGAUUGGGUCAGAGUUUAGUCGUCUUUGAAG